UAGAUCUCAAAUGAAGCGAGAAAACCCGCCGAACUUAGCAUAUCAAUAAGCGGAGGA
rnacentral:rRNA from 1 species